GCGGCGUAAUCUACACAACAUUAGAAGGUGAAACAACAAGUCUCACGAUUAUUGGCACUCUUGAUGAAUAAACUGACCUAUAUAAACAAUUCACAAAGUAAUUCACAGAGAUUUUCUUCUUUAUUAAUAUGAAUUGGAUGCAACAUGACCACUUUAAUAAUUAUAAUAAAGACAUUAAAUCCAGAUUCAAUUCUCAAAGGUAAGGCCACAAACCAUAACUUUUCCGCCAUAAUAGAACAAUCUGCAAGGUAUUUUCUGGCCUUGUACUCUCUCCAUACUUCUUGUGCGUAAACUGACGACUCAGUGAACACGUCUUCUCCAAGAAUGAAACUCUAUAACUUCUAUAAGUUUGGCAAGUCAGAAUAAUGAAGUGUAAUUACUUGAGUUCAUAGUCAUUACAAAUUAUUUGCAAUGACUUCCAUCUACCUAUCCAUCCUUCUUUCCAUCUUCUGUCGACAUAUACUUAGAUCAAAGAUAGAAGUAAAAAGGCAAGUGAAAAGUAACUUGAUAAACACAAAAUAAGACAGUUGAAUUUGAAACUUGAAAACCGAAACUUAUGACCAUUCAGAAUAUCAAUGAGCACUUGCAUGGUAAAACUCGAUAAGUAAAUCUCUGUUGGCAAAAGGAAAUUGCAUGCAAUAGAAAAAAGUGCAUAAAUGGAAAUUAGAGAAAGUCACAUAUAAAAGAACCAAGUGUAAGAGAAAAAAAAACUCCUUGAAUGGUUAUUCCCAAACUAAAAGUUGCAAAUUCCAUAUAAGAAAUUUGCUAUUUUUUUUUUUGUGUAAUUCGAAAAACAUAGUUAGUCCUUUCUACAACUUCUCUUUGUCAUAAAACUUCUCUUUCUCAACAUAGUUCGUACUAAUUUAAUAUGUCAAUAUAUAGAGGACCAACGUAUAUUCAACAACAUAUUUCGAACAGUAAUUUUGUCACUUAUGUUGAUAUUAGUUUAUAUGCAAGCUCAAUAACAUAUUCACACCUUUUAUCUACAUCUCUAACCAGCAGUCCUAAACCAACCUGAAGCCUAAAGUCAAUAGAUACUCUUCUUAUUAUUCAACGUAAAAGAGACACAUAUAACCCUCUUCAUUUCAACAGGGGGGAAGAAUAAUGAAAAUAAAUGAGAUAAAGCAUUACCUCCGUCUUUGAUGCACAAAAUGUCCACUUCAGGUGUUCAACAUAUGAUCCCUUACAUUACCCCUGCAACAUCUGAUGAAAGAAUCAUCUUUCAGGCUGCUCUGUAGGUACUUGUUUGUGCCCUUUCUUGUGAUCUGUAAAAGUCUCUAUUGUAUUGCACGAUUCAUUAACUUCAUGCAUUUUGAUCCUUCUUUUUGUCUCCAACAAAUCAGAACGUCUUCACUAUUCCCUCCUUCCCUCCCUAGAAUGGAUCAAUGGAU
rnacentral:lncRNA from 1 species